CCUUAUGGGUGUGUCACGGGUCGCCGAGCCAAAACACUCGGCGCUAAGAGGGAAUUCGGUGCGCUGUCCUCGCUAGAGCAUGGCAAUUCCGGAGCUGCCCCCGCAACUGUAAGCGGCGAGCUGUCUGUCGAUCACGGCCACUGAUGCAAAUGCGCAUCGGGAAGGCCAGACAGACGGUGUUGAACCGCGAGCCAGGAGACCUGCCUGCGACACCGUUUUUCA
rnacentral:ncRNA from 1 species